rnacentral:rRNA from 1 species
GGGGAAUUUUCCGCAAUGGGCGAAAGCCUGACGGAGCAAUACCGCGUGAGGGACGAAGGCUUUUGGGUCGUAAACCUCUUUUCCCUGAGAAGAAGAUCUGACGGUAUCAGGGGAAUAAGCAUCGGCUAACUUCGUGCCAGCAGCCGCGGUAAUACGAGGGAUGCAAGCGUUAUCCGGAAUUAUUGGGCGUAAAGCGUCCGCAGGUGGCUCUGUAAGUCUGUCGUUAAAGAAUGGGGCUCAACCCCAUACAGGCGAUGGAAACUACAAGGCUAGAGUUUGGUAGGGGUCACGGGAAUUCCUAGUGUAGCGGUGAAAUGCGUAGAUAUUAGGAAGAACACCAGCGGCGAAAGCGCGUGACUGGGCCAGUACUGACACUCAUGGACGAAAGCUAGGGGAGCGAAAGGGAUUAGAUACCCCUGUAGUCCUAGCCGUAAACGAUGAUAACUAGGUGUUGCCCGUAUCGACCCGGGCAGUGCCGUAGCCAACGCGUUAAGUUAUCC